UCGUUCGGGGGAUAGGCGAAGUCGCCUCGCGGCGGCUGGCCGCGAAAUUCUCC
rnacentral:ncRNA from 1 species